UACGUAGGGAGCAAGCGUUGUCCGGAAUCAUUGGGCGUAAAGCGCGCGUAGGCGGCCUCGUAAGUCCGUUGUGAAAGUCAAAGGCUCAACCUUUGAAAGCCGAUGGAUACUGUGAGGCUAGAGUCCGGAAGAGGCGAGUGGAAUUCCUGGUGUAGCGGUGGAAUGCGCAGAUAUCAGGAGGAACACCAAUAGCGAAGGCAGCUCGCUGGGACGGUACUGACGCUAAGGCGCGAAAAGCGUGGGGAGCGAACAGG
rnacentral:rRNA from 1 species